rnacentral:rRNA from 1 species
CCUGAGUACGACGGAGCACGUGAAAUUCCGUCGGAAUCUGGGAGGACCAUCUCCUAAGGCUAAAUACUCUCUAGUGACCGAUAGUGAACCAGUACCGUGAGGGAAAGGUGAAAAGUACCCCGGAAGGGGAGUGAAAGAGAACUUGAAACCGUGUGCUUACAAGUAGUCAGAGCCCGUUAAUGGGUGAUGGCGUGCCUUUUGUAGAAUGAACCGGCGAGUUACGAUCUGAUGCAAGGUUAAGCAGAAAAUGUGGAGCCGUAGCGAAAGCGAGUCUGAAUAGGGCGAAUGAGUAUUUGGUCGUAGACCCGAAACCAGGUGAUCUACCCUUGGUCAGGUUGAAGUUCAGGUAACACUGAAUGGAGGACCGAACCGACUUACGUUGAAAAGUGAGCGGAUGAACUGAGGGUAGCGGAGAAAUUCCAAUCGAACUUGGAGAUAGCUGGUUCUCUCCGAAAUAGCUUUAGGGCUAGCCUCAAGUGAUGAUUAUUGGAGGUAGAGCACUGUUUGGACGAGGGGCCCCUCUCGGGUUACCGAAUUCAGACAAACUCCGAAUGCCAAAUAAUUUAACUUGGGAGUCAGAAUGUGGGUGAUAAGGUCCAUAUUCGAAAGGGAAACAGCCCAGACCACCAGCUAAGGUCCCAAAAUAUAUGUUAAGUGGAAAAGGAUGUGGCGUUGCCCAGACAACUAGGAUGUUGGCUUAGAAGCAGCCAUCAUUUAAAGAGUGCGUAAUAGCUCACUAGUCGAGUGACACUGCGCCGAAAAUGUACCGGGGCUAAACAUAUUACCGAAGCUGUGGAUUGUCCUUUGGACAAUGGUAGGAGAGCGUUCUAAGGGCGUUGAAGCAUGAUCGCAAGGACAUGUGGAGCGCUUAGAAGUGAGAAUGCCGGUGUGAGUAGCGAAAGACGGGUGAGAAUCCCGUCCACCGAUUGACUAAGGUUUCCAGAGGAAGGCUCGUCCGCUCUGGGUUAGUCGGGUCCUAAGCUGAGGCCGACAGGCGUAGGCGAUGGAUAACAGGUUGAUAUUCCUGUACCACCAUUA